rnacentral:rRNA from 2 species
AAAUUGAAGAGUUUGAUCAUGGCUCAGAUUGAACGCUGGCGGCAGGCCUAACACAUGCAAGUCGAACGGUAACAGGAAGCAGCUUGCUGCUUUGCUGACGAGUGGCGGACGGGUGAGUAAUGUCUGGGAAACUGCCUGAUGGAGGGGGAUAACUACUGGAAACGGUGGCUAAUACCGCAUAACGUCGCAAGACCAAAGAGGGGGACCUUCGGGCCUCUUGCCAUCAGAUGUGCCCAGAUGGGAUUAGCUUGUUGGUGAGGUAACGGCUCACCAAGGCGACGAUCCCUAGCUGGUCUGAGAGGAUGACCAGCCACACUGGAACUGAGACACGGUCCAGACUCCUACGGGAGGCAGCAGUGGGGAAUAUUGCACAAUGGGCGCAAGCCUGAUGCAGCCAUGCCGCGUGUAUGAAGAAGGCCUUCGGGUUGUAAAGUACUUUCAGCGGGGAGGAAGGUGUUGUGGUUAAUAACCGCAGCAAUUGACGUUACCCGCAGAAGAAGCACCGGCUAACUCCGUGCCAGCAGCCGCGGUAAUACGGAGGGUGCAAGCGUUAAUCGGAAUUACUGGGCGUAAAGCGCACGCAGGCGGUCUGUCAAGUCGGAUGUGAAAUCCCCGGGCUCAACCUGGGAACUGCAUUCGAAACUGGCAGGCUUGAGUCUUGUAGAGGGGGGUAGAAUUCCAGGUGUAGCGGUGAAAUGCGUAGAGAUCUGGAGGAAUACCGGUGGCGAAGGCGGCCCCCUGGACAAAGACUGACGCUCAGGUGCGAAAGCGUGGGGAGCAAACAGGAUUAGAUACCCUGGUAGUCCACGCCGUAAACGAUGUCUACUUGGAGGUUGUGCCCUUGAGGCGUGGCUUCCGGAGCUAACGCGUUAAGUAGACCGCCUGGGGAGUACGGCCGCAAGGUUAAAACUCAAAUGAAUUGACGGGGGCCCGCACAAGCGGUGGAGCAUGUGGUUUAAUUCGAUGCAACGCGAAGAACCUUACCUGGUCUUGACAUCCACAGAACUUUCCAGAGAUGGAUUGGUGCCUUCGGGAACUGUGAGACAGGUGCUGCAUGGCUGUCGUCAGCUCGUGUUGUGAAAUGUUGGGUUAAGUCCCGCAACGAGCGCAACCCUUAUCCUUUGUUGCCAGCGGUCCGGCCGGGAACUCAAAGGAGACUGCCAGUGAUAAACUGGAGGAAGGUGGGGAUGACGUCAAGUCAUCAUGGCCCUUACGACCAGGGCUACACACGUGCUACAAUGGCGCAUACAAAGAGAAGCGACCUCGCGAGAGUAAGCGGACCUCAUAAAGUGCGUCGUAGUCCGGAUUGGAGUCUGCAACUCGACUCCAUGAAGUCGGAAUCGCUAGUAAUCGUGGAUCAGAAUGCCACGGUGAAUACGUUCCCGGGCCUUGUACACACCGCCCGUCACACCAUGGGAGUGGGUUGCAAAAGAAGUAGGUAGCUUAACCUUCGGG